CAUAGCUGCAGAAGUGGUAGUGUGAUCUAACAUUCAUCUUUCUUCGUGUAUCAGGUGUUGUGAGUCCGGAGUUCUACUUCGAUGCGGUAAAUUUCAACAUACCAUCAAAGGUUGCCAUCCAUCUGUGUAUUGAAUAAUGAACCCAGUUGGUUGUGCUUUUCUAAGCUUGGAAUAGAUGUAAAAAGAACACUGGAAGACUAG
rnacentral:lncRNA from 1 species